CGGUCUACCUCGACAGAAACCUUCGGGUUGAAGACGAGAUCUAGAUAGUGGCGGACGGGUGAGUAACACGUGAAUAAUCUGUCCUCAAGUCUGGGAUAACCUGGCGAAAGUCGGGCUAAUCCGAGGUAAGCUGAGAGUGUGGCAUCACACAAUCAGAAAAGGUGGUUUUACCAUCGUUUGAGGAGGAGUUCGCGGUAGAUUAGCUAGCUGGUGAGGUAACGGCUCACCAGGGCAACAAUCUAUAGCUGGUCUGAGAGGACGAUCAGUCACACUGGAACUGAGACACGGUCCAGACUCCUACGGGAGGCAGCAGUGGGGAAUCUUCCACAAUGGGCGAAAGCCUGAUGGAGCAACGCCGCGUGAGUGAAGAAGGUCUUAGGAUUGUAAAGCUCUGUCCUUAGGGAAGAACCGUGGGUAUAGUAAAUGCUACUCACCUGACGGUACCUUUGGAGGAAGCACUGGCUAACUACGUGCCAGCAGCCGCGGUAAUACGUAGAGUGCAAGCGUUGUCCGGAAUUAUUGGGCGUAAAGGGUACGCAGGCGGAUAAUCAAGUCAAGCGUGAAAGGUGUCGGCUUAACCGACAGACUGCGUUUGAAACUGGUUAUCUUGAGUGUAACAGAGGAGAGUGGAAUUCCUAGUGUAGUGGUGAAAUACGUAGAUAUUAGGAAGAACACCAGUGGCGAAGGCGACUCUCUGGGUUAACACUGACGCUGAGGUACGAAA
rnacentral:rRNA from 1 species